rnacentral:rRNA from 1 species
GACGAACGCUGGCGGCGUGCUUAACACAUGCAAGUCGAACGGAAAGGCCCUGCUUUUGUGGGGUGCUCGAGUGGCGAACGGGUGAGUAACACGUGAGUAACCUGCCCUUGACUUUGGGAUAACUUCAGGAAACUGGGGCUAAUACCGGAUAGGAGCUCCUGCUGCAUGGUGGGGGUUGGAAAGUUUCGGCGGUUGGGGAUGGACUCGCGGCUUAUCAGCUUGUUGGUGGGGUAGUGGCUUACCAAGGCUUUGACGGGUAGCCGGCCUGAGAGGGUGACCGGCACAAUUGGACUGGGGAUAGGGCCAGGACCCUUCCGGGAGGAAAAGGGGGGAAAUUUUCCACAUGGGGCGGAGGCCGGAUGCAGCACCGCCGGGUGGGGAAUGCCGGCCUCGGGUUGUAAACCGCUUUCGCCUGUGACGAAGCGUGAGUGACGGUAAUGGGUAAAGAAGCACCGGCUAACUACGUG